rnacentral:sRNA from 1 species
AAAGUUAUGUACCUGAUUUACGAGUGUCCACUUACAUGUAAAGACUUUAAGAAGGAAAAAGGAAAUCCUGAAGUUAGAGGAGUAUUAAAGGUAGUCGAGAGAAUGAAAUACAGUCAUGUUUUUUUUAUUUAUAAACAAUUGACUUUAUCAUUGAAAAUAUAACAAAUAUAUCAUAUAACUACGAUAACAAUAUUCAGAUUACCCCCAAACAAGUCGAAAUCGUAAUGAUAUCUAUCUUUAAAAUUAAUAAUCGUAACAACUGUUUUGCAUUAAUACUCCAGAGUAAUCUUCCAUUGUAAAUUCUCUAUGUUAGAGUUAUCUUCCCUUUUCAAAAAGCUGUUUAUGUAUAGCUGUACUAACAAAUAAAUUGUGAUCUCCAACGGGAGGAGAAAAGAAACGCCCGGCCAAUGGUAAUCGCUUCAGUGGAAAUGAAGUUCACAACACGUUUAAUGUGUUAGCUCGUGCUGCGUUGUUAUAAAUCAUUGUACUCAUGUGUUGAAUAAAUUAUUUAUCAUUUAG